UGGAAGGGCGGGGAUGAGGGAUGGGACGCAUCCCCGGGGGAUGCUCCUCCAAAGCUUUUAUCGGGCGAGCGCAGUGGCUCACGCCUGUAAUUCCUGCACUUUGGGAGGCUAAGGAUGAAAGGCUUCCUAGCACAAACACCACCCCUGGAGUUCCCGGUACAUCAAUACCAGCCUGGGGAUCACGUUCUCAUCAAGAGUUGGAAGAGGGAAAGCUUGAACCAGCUUAGGAGGACCUCAUCUGGUACUCUUGAUGAAUGAAACAGCAAUCUGAAUGGCUGAAAAAGGAUGGACCCAGCACUCCAGAGUCUCACACUGUCACCAGGCUGGAGUGCCGUGGCGCAAUAUCAGCUCACUGUAACCUCCACCUCCCAGGUUGAAGUGAUUCUCCCAUCUCAGCCCCCAAGUAGCUGGGACUACAGGUGAGUGCCACCACACCCAGCUAAUUUUUGUAUUUUUAGUAGAGAUGGGGGUUCACCAUGUUGCCCAAAAUGGUCUCAAUCUCUUGGCCUCGUGAUCCAACCAUCUCAGCCUCCCAAAGUGCUGGGUUUAAAGGCAUGAGCCACUGUGCCUGGCCCAGAAUUCUUUACUGCUAACACGAGUGGGCCUGGUUCUGGAGGAUUUCCCAGUGGGUCCUGAAGAACCACAGUUUAUUGGCUUGUGGGCAAAGGGGUAUGUGUAUCAGUUGGCCUUUACUGUGUAAUAAACAGCCACAAAAAUUACUAGCUGAAAACAGCAGCUACUUAAUUAGCAGAAGCCUCUUGAGGAUGGACUUGCAAACCAAAGUUGUGCUGGUUUCUACUGGUCAAAGCAAGGACUGGCUCACAUAAAAAGGAGAGAGAUUGCACCUUCAGAGAGUAAUCUCAAGACAUCUGUAAUCUACCACAGGGUGUCACUGGGCCUCUGUCAAGGAGCCUAUUCUUUCUGCCACCAGAUCUGUCUAAUAGCUUGUGUGACAAUGCACUUCCUUCUGGGUCUCUCUCCAAGUGUAGUAAGUGUAUAUGGGAAUCACUUUAUUCAAACAGUGUAGUGCACUUAGUUAGAAAGAAAAGGUAUUAAGGAAGACUUAUAUUUAAAAUUGUUAUUUAUGGUAACAACGAAAAGUAACAUACAAAUUUCAAACAUCAAGAAUAAAAUAAAUUAAAGGUAUGAUCAAUACACAUCAGUACAAAGAGGGGAACACAAUGAAACAAACAAAAAAAAUUAGAUGCUAGAAAUUAAUCCAAAUUAUUACU
rnacentral:lncRNA from 1 species